GAAAUUGGGGGUCUUACCAUGCAGUCGAGCGAUGAAGCACCUUCGGGUGUGAAUUAGCGGCGAACGGGUGAGGAACACGUGAAGAAUCUGCCUUCAACUCUGGGAUAACUCCGGGAAACCGGGGCUAAUACCGGAUAUGAGCCUUGAUCGCAUGAUCGGGGCUGGAAAGUUUUUCGGUUGAAGAUGACUUCGCGGCCUAUCAGCUUGUUGGUGAGGUAAUGGCUCACCAAGGCGACGACGGGUAGCCGGCCUGAGAGGGCGACCGGCCACACUGGGACUGAGACACGGCCCAGACUCCUACGGGAGGCAGCAGUGGGGAAUAUUGGGCAAUGGAGGAAACUCUGACCCAGCGACGCCGCGUGCGGGAUGAAGGCCUUCGGGUUGUAAACCGCUUUCAGCAGGGAAGAAGCGAAAGUGACGGUACCUGCAGAAGAAGCACCGGCUAACUAUGUGCCAGCAGCCGCGGUAAUACAUAGGGUGCAAGCGUUGUCCGGAAUUAUUGGGCGUAAAGAGCUCGUAGGUGGUUCGUCACGUCGGAUGUGAAACUCUGGGGCUUAACCCCAGACCUCCAUUCGAUACGGGCGAGCUUGAGUAUGGUAGGGGAGUCUGGAAUUCCUGGUGUAGCGGUGGAAUGCGCAGAUAUCAGGAGGAACACCAAUGGCGAAGGCAGGACUCUGGGCCAUUACUGACACUGAGGAGCGAAAGCGUGGGGAGCGAACAGGAUUAGAUACCCUGGUAGUCCACGCCGUAAACGGUGGGCACUAGUUGUGGGGACCUUCCACGGUCUCUGCGACGCAGCUAACGCAUUAAGUGCCCCGCCUGGGGGAGUACGAUCGCAAGAUUAAAACUCAAGGAAUUGACGG
rnacentral:rRNA from 1 species